AUGGACACCUGCCUCUCAGAUUUGAUUAGUCACCAUUCUUUGGAUUUUAUUGGGUUGCAGAAGACUAUGAAGAAAAAAUUUACUCGUAAACUUAUUAGGAGGGUUGAUCCCUUUGGUCUGCUCCAUUGGGAAUGGAUUCCAUCUGUUGGAAAAUCUGGAGGUAUUCUGAGUGGUGUGAGACAUGAUACUUUAGAUGUUACUAGUCGUCAACCCGGCAAAUACAUUUUACAAUUAGUAGUGCAUGACAAGAAAAAUAAGAAGGAAUGGGGCAUGCCGGUAGUGUAUGGAUCUGCUCAUGAGGAGUUUAAAGAGGAAUUCCUGGUGGAGCUCGUUGCAAUGAGUAGCAAUAUGAGUGUCCCCUACAUUGUCGGAGGUGACUUUAAUAUCUUGCGUAGUUGCAAUCAAAAAAAUAAAAAGGUGAAUUGCAGCUGGUCUACUGAUCUCUUUAAUUCCAUUAUCAAUGCCCUGGCCCUUAGAGAGAUUUAUACCAUUGGGGGUAAAUACACAUGGACAAACAAUUAGACAGAUCCAACUCUAGAGAAACUAGACCGGAUUCUGAUGUCUGAAGACUAGGAAAAUCUAUUCCCAGUUUCUGUUAGGAAAUUGGUCCGAGAACUUUCUGACCAUAACCCACUGUUGUUAUCUAGU
rnacentral:rRNA from 1 species